GCAGCCGCAAAAAACGGUUGCCGGGAUUGGAAACCCGCAUAUAAUACGGCGUCCAAACCGCGCCCAAAUUGCGCGGUUUCUUU
rnacentral:sRNA from 1 species